AGAGUUUGAUCAUGGCUCAGGACGAACGCUGGCGGCGUGCUUAACACAUGCAAGUCGAACGAGAAGAGAUGAGAAGCUUGCUUCUUAUCUCUUCGAGUGGCAAACGGGUGAGUAACGCGUAAGCAACCUGCCCUUCAGAUGGGGACAACAGCUGGAAACGGCUGCUAAUACCGAAUACGUUCUUUUUGUCGCAUGGCAGAGGGAAGAAAGGGAGGCUCUUCGGAGCUUUCGCUGAAGGAGGGGCUUGCGUCUGAUUAGCUAGUUGGAGGGGUAACGGCCCACCAAGGCGACGAUCAGUAGCCGGUCUGAGAGGAUGAACGGCCACAUUGGGACUGAGACACGGCCCAGACUCCUACGGGAGGCAGCAGUGGGGAAUCUUCCGCAAUGGACGAAAGUCUGACGGAGCAACGCCGCGUGAACGAUGACGGCCUUCGGGUUGUAAAGUUCUGUUAUACGGGACGAAUGGCGUAGCGGUCAAUACCCGUUACGAGUGACGGUACCGUAAGAGAAAGCCACGGCUAACUACGUGCCAGCAGCCGCGGUAAUACGUAGGUGGCAAGCGUUGUCCGGAAUUAUUGGGCGUAAAGGGCGCGCAGGCGGCGUCGUAAGUCGGUCUUAAAAGUGCGGGGCUUAACCCCGUGAGGGGACCGAAACUGCGAUGCUAGAGUAUCGGAGAGGAAAGCGGAAUUCCUAGUGUAGCGGUGAAAUGCGUAGAUAUUAGGAGGAACACCAGUGGCGAAAGCGGCUUUCUGGACGACAACUGACGCUGAGGCGCGAAAGCCAGGGGAGCAAACGGGAUUAGAUACCCCGGUAGUCCUGGCCGUAAACGAUGGAUACUAGGUGUAGGAGGUAUCGACCCCUUCUGUGCCGGAGUUAACGCAAUAAGUAUCCCGCCUGGGGAGUACGGCCGCAAGGCUGAAACUCAAAGGAAUUGACGGGGGCCCGCACAAGCGGUGGAACAUGUGGUUUAAUUCGAUGAUACGCGAGGAACCUUACCCGGGCUUAAAUUGCAGUGGAAUGAUGUGGAAACAUGUCAGUGAGCAAUCACCGCUGUGAAGGUGCUGCAUGGUUGUCGUCAGCUCGUGCCGUGAGGUGUCGGCUUAAGUGCCAUAACGAGCGCAACCCUUAUCUUCAGUUACUAACAGGUCAUGCUGAGGACUCUGGAGAGACUGCCGUCGUAAGAUGUGAGGAAGGUGGGGAUGACGUCAAAUCAGCACGGCCCUUACGUCCGGGGCUACACACGUGUUACAAUGGGGGGUACAGAGGGCCGCUACCACGCGAGUGGAUGCCAAUCCCAAAAACCUCUCUCAGUUCGGACUGGAGUCUGCAACCCGACUCCACGAAGCUGGAUUCGCUAGUAAUCGCGCAUCAGCCACGGCGCGGUGAAUACGUUCCCGGGCCUUGCACUCACCGCCCGU
rnacentral:rRNA from 1 species